CGAAUGGGUCCAAAGACUCUUAAAACCUACCGUGCUCCCCUACGUGGACAUCAGGAAAGCCCUCCGGGGCAUAAGAAAUCUGAGAAGUUGAAGAACUGCGCCCCGGCGCAUGACUAAGACAAAAAUUACAAUC
rnacentral:misc_RNA from 1 species